AAAAUCAAACAAAGAUUGAAAUGAGAAGAGUUUUAGUAGAGAUGGCCAAACUAGAGUGUAGCAACAGAGAGAGUACAUAGCCCACAAAAUUCCAUUCAACUCGAGGGAUCAUGUAAUGAUAAUUUUGGUUUCAUCCUAAUAGAUAAGUCUUUGGGCCACUGCAACAGAGAGGAUAUAUUUUUAGGAGUAUGUAUCAUAAUCAUCUUAAAUCACAAAUAAAAACAUCAUAACAUAUGAUUAUAGAAAACCCAUCCAGAAAAGUUAAGUUCUCCCCAACCAACCAAUCAUCAUAACAAACAACAGAUCUUGUAAAAAAUUCUUUAACAUGGAAGGGGAAAAGUAUCCCAUAAUCUUGUUUGUUAAGCCAGACUAUAACUCAGUUCCUAGUAUAGAAACGCACAAAAGCUUAUAGAAAACAGAAACCACCAGCAUGUAAGUAAAAAAAUCCCUAGGAUGAAUGAGAAAGUGUGAAAAUCUAAGCAAGUGUCUUUGUCACCAAGUUAAGUAGUUCACACCGCAGAAGAACUCAUCAUCUCCAAUAUCUCCAAAUUCAGACUGCAAACACUCAACACCCCGCAGAAGAACUCAUCUCCAAUAUCUCCAAAUUCAGACUGCAAACACUCAACACCAAAUGAAUCAACGGCAAAUGAUACAUUUACUCAUAUAUUUUACAGUGUCAUGUCCAUUGUAUCAAGAUUCGGAGAAAAAAUUUGAUUUAUCUACGGGAGAAAAAAUUUGAUUUACUUAUAUAUCAAGAACUCUUAACUCACUGCAUAACGGGAGAAAAAUAAUUGUUGUCUCAAUUAAAACAAAAAUUGAAAUGUUAAGUAUCUUAUUAGUAGAGAUGACCAAAUUAAAGCAUACAACACAGCCUGCAGAACAUGCUGGUUCUUUGGAACAGAUGCCUAUCCAAUUUGCAGGAUCUUGUCCUCAUCUGAAAAAUUAUAAUUAAGCUUCCACUUAAAACCAGGCGAUAUUGAUUUAGGAGUACAAGUCAUAAAUCACAACUAACAAUCAAAACAUAAACAAUAAAAGAAUAUCGUCACUCCCUUGCCAAUGUGUCCCCAACAAACAGAUUGUCAAAGCAAAUAACACCAACCAAGAUGUCCAUUUCUCUUUAGAACUACCUUUUUUGAGUUCUCUAAUUCUCUUUCCACAAAAGUAACAGCUGCUUGCAUCUUCUCGUAGAUUUCAAUAUCACUA
rnacentral:lncRNA from 1 species